AUUAUCGUCGGAUAAUUAUUCGGAUCCGGGUUCCCGGAAGUGUCUAUUUCGACACCGGAACCCACCGUCACUCACCCAUCAUCACCGAACCCACAAUAUGAUGAUGGUGACGAGCCAACAAGGCUCAGCGACAAUUUACAGGACAACCAAACUACGUCGAAAGAAAUACGAACCGAAACUGCGUUCUUUCGGCGAAUUUCACAGAAAAACUCACUGAAAUCGACUCUUCGAUUUUCGCAAAAGCUAACGGAUCAU
rnacentral:lncRNA from 1 species